GAUCAUGGCUCAGGAUGAACGCUAGCUACAGGCUUAACACAUGCAAGUCGAGGGGCAGCAUCAUCAAAGCUUGCUUUGAUGGAUGGCGACCGGCGCACGGGUGAGUAACACGUAUCCAACCUGCCGACAACACUGGGAUAGCCUUUCGAAAGAAAGAUUAAUACCGGAUGGCAUAAUUAUUCCGCAUGGGAUAAUUAUUAAAGAAUUUCGGUUGUCGAUGGGGAUGCGUUCCUAG
rnacentral:rRNA from 1 species